UAUAGUUUCUUUGAUGGUACCCUACUACUCAUAUAACCGUAGUAAUGAGUACAAUCUAAAUCCCUUAAUAAGGAUCCAUUGGAGGGCAAGUUUGGUGCCAGCAACCACGGUAAUUCCAGUUCCAAUAUUGUAUAUUUAAGUUGUUGCAGUUAAAAAUAUCAUAGUUGGAUCUUGGGUCAUAAAGGUUGGUCUGCCUACUCAGUGUGCACCUGCCCUUCCGUCCCUUUUGUCGGCGGCAUGCUCCUGGCCUUAAUUGGCUGGGUCGCGGUUCCGACAUUGUUACUUUGAAAAAAUUAGAGUGCUCAAAGCAAGCUUAUGAUCUGAAUACAUUAGCAUGAAAUAACACAAUAGGAGUCUGGUCCUAUUGUGUUGUCCUUUGAGACCAGAGUAAUGAUUAAUAUGGAUUGUCGAGGGCAUUCGCAUUUCAUUGUCAGAGGUGAAAUUCUUGGAUUUAUGAAAGACGAAACACUGUGAAAGAAUUUUCCAAGGAUGUUUUCAUUGAUCAAGAAUGAAAGUUGUGGAAUUGAAUAUGAUCAAAUACCGUCCUAGUCUCAACCAUAAACGAUGUCGACCAGGGAUCGACGGAUGUUUCUCUAAGGACUCCGCCAACACCUUCUCAGAGUGUUUGGGUUUUGGGGGGAGUAUGGUUGCAAGGCUGAAACUACAAGUUCGUAUUAAAAAAUCUCUUGGUCACCC
rnacentral:ncRNA from 1 species